rnacentral:lncRNA from 1 species
AUGAAUAAUCAGCCUAGGAAUGUCAUCCGUCAGAAUCUCGCAGGGAUUGUCCUGGGAGCCAGAUUCCUGUGUACAGAAGAUGACCUUGUCCAGACUCCUGAGUGCUCAUUUCCCUGGCCAGGGCAUCCAUGUUGCAGAUUAGCUUUUUCCCUAUUUCUCUGUCUUCAGUUGGUGGUGGUGGUGGUGGUGGGGUGUGUGGUUGGUGGGGGUUGGGCUAGAUGGGUGAUGGGCAGGAGGAGGGCACUUGAAGGGAUGAGCGCUGGGUGUUGUAUGCAAGUGACGAAUCACUCAAUUCUGCUCCUAAGACCAAUAGUACACAUAUGUACACUGAUUAGAAUUUAAAUAAAAAUUUGGAGGGAAAAACCCCCGAACCAAAACCUUCCAUUUUGUACACCUCCUCAGAGCUCCCCCAUCUCCCAGCUUGCUAGCUGGGAUGCUGCCCAAUUCAUGACUUGCUUAAUAGAGCCAAUUUGAUGUUACAGUUUACUCAGUUGAGGGGCACCUGGGUGGCUCAGUCGGUUGAGUGUCUGCCUUCGGCUCAGGUCAUGAUCUCGGGGUCUUGGAAUCGAGUCCUGCAUCUGGCUCCUUGCUGAAUGGGGAGCCUGCUUCUCCCUCUGCUUGCCUCUCCCCCUGCUUGUGCUCUCUGUCUCUAUUUCUCUGAGAAAUAAAUAAAAUCUUUUAAAAAAAUAAUAAAAUAAAAAUAAAAUUUACUUGGCUGAAUUUUGGUUUUUUACAAAGGACAGUAGAGGAAUUUCUAUGUGUUUAACUCUUAGAAUCUUGGUUGUAAAUUAAGGUUUCUAAAAUCUACUACGGGUUUCAUGAGAACACAAAGAGAUAAUGGUCAGAACAGCAUCUCACUUGUGGAAGUCACUUAAUGUUUGCUCCAAUACAUUUUAACAUUUCUGCUCUGUGGUCUAAUCAUGGAGUAUGUGCAUACGUUUGAUGAUUGAUGAAAAUAUUCUUGUUAACCUUAAUCCUUUAGUAACUAAUGUUGGAAAACGGAUAAAGUGGAAGAGAAAAGGGGAGGGGUCGAUUUCGACACAUCUCCUUGGCAUCCUUACGGGUUUUUAUAAUUUUCUCAUUUAAAAAAAAUAGUAUUUAUUUAUUUGACACAGAGAGAGAGCCAGAGCGUGCACGUUUGGACAAGAUUAGGGGGUGGGGGAGGCGCCUGGGUGACCCAGUGUUUAAGCCUCUGCCUUUGGCUCAGGGUCCUGGGAUCGAGCCCCCAGUGGGGCUCUCUGCACAGCGGGGGGCCUGCUUCCUCCUCUCUCUCUCUGCCUGCCUCUCUGCCUACUUGUGAUCNNNNNNNNNNNNNNNNNNNNNNNNNNNNNNNNNNNAAAAAAAAAAAAAAGAUUGGGGGGCGGGAUGUGGGGAGACGGCAGAGGGAGAGGGAGCAGCAGACUCCCCGCAGGGAGCAGGGAGCCCAACACCAGGCUCGCUCCUCUAUCCCAGGUCCCUGAGAUCAUGACCUGAGCCAAAGGCAGAUGCUUAGCCAACUGAGCCACCCAGGCGCCCCUAGAAUUUUCUCAUGAAUGGUCCUAAUAAUGCAGGGUUGUUGAGCCCAAAGGUCAAGAAAGGAUUCUUGAAAUGUUUUAUGGUACAAAAAAGUGUUUUUAUUGUAGCUGGACCCUUGGGCAGAAAAGGGAAAUCUCUAAAAGGAUUUCUGUAUGUCAGAGAAGAUUACAGCAUCCUGGAGGUCUGGCUAUUGUCAAGCUAAGGUUGUUUUUUAGUUUCUAGCAAAGCAUUAACAUUAAGGCAGCGGGAGGAACGUCACACUACACGUCUCCGGUAUUUAUCCACAGGCUUCACCUUGUAAGGAAAUUUAAUUUUAUCUACAUUUCUCUUGCCUCUGUUCUCCUUAUCACUAGUAAUUAGCUAGCGAAGUCCCUGUCUCCUAGGAGGACACUUGAAAUCCACAAGGCUUUCCCCACAGAAUAUUAACAUCCUGAGGUACAUACAUCACUGGACAUAUGAAUGGGGAAAGAGAGUCCUUUUCUCAUUGUUCUUAAACAUUAAAGCAAAUUGCAAGACCUUUGAGCUGGAAGGAUAUACCCAGAAGCUGCGUAUUUAGAAUAGGAGAAGCCAGACGUGAGACAGUGUUGGUCAUCGGGAUGACUUUUAAUUAGGGGAACUAACUGGACAGAAGAUAGCCUUUCAGGCCUUAAAAAAUCAUUAUGCAUCCACCAAAGGAAGGAAACAAGAUCUACAUGUGGCAUAGGUUAAAACAACAACAACAACAACAACAACAACAACAAAACACACUCUCUCUUCAUCUAACCCGGUAUCUCUCACUGGCUAUCUAACAGAUCACCCCAAAUCUGAUCAGGCAUUUCCUGCUUACACAGCUCUUGAAGGCUAUCCUGGCCCCAUGGUGAGCUCCCCAUUCAGAAGUAUGCUUUUGGGGGGCCUUUCUCAGCAAGGAAGGAAUCUUUCUCUUGACUCGAGGUGAAAGUUGUGUCUCCUCUCUUUGAAUCUCCAUUAUCACUUGAUGACUCCAACUUCCCACAGGGCCUCAUUCACUUUCCCCCUUCUAUUGACUGACUUGUAGAUUUUUUUAUACUGUACCAACAACGCCCCCAGAGGCCCAAGCUGCAGUCACUCACGCCAGCCCACGUCACCAAACGGAAUCUCCGCACCUCACCUAACUGCCGUUUCAACGUCUUCCAGAAAUGGAGUCUGAGUCAGGAAUUCUCUGCUUAGCCCCCAUCUGCAACCUGUCACGCGGGUUCUCUCCAUCCCCACCCCCACCCCAGGAAGGUAAAGUAAUCACCCAAAAGCCCCAGCUCUUACCCUGAGGGGAAGUGACUUUGCCUGAAACUAUCCUUUCUUUUGCUAAUUGUUCUACCCCAGUUCUGUGUAUAAAGUCCUUCUGGUUUUUUUUUUUUUUCUUUUUAAGAUUUUAUUUAUUUAUUUAUUUAUUUGAUAGAGAGACACCGUGAGAGAGGGAACACAAACAGGGGGAAUGGGAAAGGGAGAAGCAGGCUUCCUGCUGAGCAAGGAGACCCAUCCCCAGAGCCUGGGAUCAUGACCUGAGCUGAAGGGCACAUGCUUAACGACUGAGCCACGCGGGUACCCCAAGGGCUUCCCUUUUACACAGCCGCUGGAUUGAGAUGCUACCCCAUUCAUGGAUCGCCUGAUAAAGCCAAUUACAUCUUCAAAUUUAUUAGGUUAAGUUUUGGGUUUUAACUCUGUGUACGUUCAGUGAACCGGACUGUAAAUUUCUAGGGGGGAGGAAGGCCUCAGGUUUCUUGUGUCAACCUAGGGAGUGUGCACGUAAUAAAUGCUUGGUCUGAAUUCAUACAUAUGAGGACUUCGGUUUGUGUGGGGGCAACAGCACUAGAAGAACUGAGUGUAGGGAAGACAGUUGGGGGUAGGUGGGGCCCGGCGUUACUAAGUCUGCUUGGUCCCCAUUCUGGUGAUUGAAGGACCGACAGAGAAAGGAAAACGUUUUUCACACCAUCAAAGGCUCCAGUGGUUUAUCCAAAGCAAGAGGGUCAUGAUCCCAGGGUCCUGGGAUCGAGUCCCACAUUGGGCUCCCUGCUCAACAGGGAGCCUGCUUCUCCCUCUGCCUGCCACUACUGGCUUCUGCUCGGUCUUUCUCUCAAAUAAGUAGAUAAACAACAAAACAAAGCAGGAGAGUUUAUUUCGUCUUCCAUUUGUCCUGAAAAGCUUCAGAUAGUAGCUGUUGUGCAGUUUGGUUUCGGUGUUCUCCACCCAAAAGCAUUCCUUCCCCAAAGCC